CCGAGUUUACAACUCCCAAACCCAAUGUGAACGUUACCAAACUGUUGCCUCGGCGGGAUCUCUGCCCCGGGUGCGUCGCAGCCCCGGACCAAGGCGCCCGCCGGAGGACCAACCAAAACUCUUGUAUUUGAAUUGAGUAUUCUCUGAGUGAUACAAGCAAUAAAUUA
rnacentral:misc_RNA from 1 species